GGUUAAGCGACUAAGCGUACACGGUGGAUGCCCUGGCAGUCAGAGGCGAUGAAGGACGUGCUAAUCUGCGAAAAGCGACGGCGAGGUGAUAUGAACCUUUGACCCGUCGAUGUCCGAAUGGGGAAACCCAGUGUGUUUCGACACACUAUCGUUAACUGAAUACAUAGGUUAACGAGGCGAACCGGGGGAACUGAAACAUCUAAGUACCCCGAGGAAAAGAAAUCAACCGAGAUUCCCCCAGUAGCGGCGAGCGAACGGGGAGCAGCCCGGAGUCUGAAUCAGCUUGUGUGUUAGUGGAACGGUCUGGAAAGUCCGACGGUACAGGGUGAUAGUCCCGUACACGAAAGCACACUUGCUGUGAACUCGAAGAGUAGGGCGGGACACGUGGUAUCCUGUCUGAAUAUGGGGGGACCAUCCUCCAAGGCUAAAUACUCCUGACUGACCGAUAGUGAACCAGUACCGUGAGGGAAAGGCGAAAAGAACCCCGGCGAGGGGAGUGAAAAAGAACCUGAAACCGUGUACGUACAAGCAGUGGGAGCACCUUCGGGUGUGACUGCGUACCUUUUGUAUAAUGGGUCAGCGACUUAUAUUCUGUAGCAAGGUUAACCGUAUAGGGGAGCCGAAGGGAAACCGAGUCUUAACUGGGCGUUAAGUUGCAGGGUAUAGACCCGAAACCCGGUGAUCUAGCCAUGGGCAGGUUGAAGGUUGGGUAACACUAACUGGAGGACCGAACCGACUAAUGUUGAAAAAUUAGCGGAUGACCUGUGGCUGGGGGUGAAAGGCCAAUCAAACCGGGAGAUAGCUGGUUCUCCCCGAAAGCUAUUUAGGUAGCGCCUCGUGAACUCAUCUUCGGGGGUAGAGCACUGUUUCGGCUAGGGGGCCAUCCCGGCUUACCAACCCGAUGCAAACUACGAAUACCGAAGAAUGUUAUCACGGGAGACACACGGCGGGUGCUAACGUCCGUCGUGAAGAGGGAAACAACCCAGACCGCCAGCUAAGGUCCCAAAGUCAUGGUUAAGUGGGAAACGAUGUGGGAAGGCACAGACAGCCAGGAUGUUGGCUUAGAAGCAGCCAUCAUUUAAAGAAAGCGUAAUAGCUCACUGGUCGAGUCGGCCUGCGCGGAAGAUGUAACGGGGCUAAACCAUGCACCGAAGCUGCGGCAGCGACACUAUGUGUUGUUGGGUAGGGGAGCGUUCUGUAAGCCGUUGAAGGUGUGCUGUGAGGCAUGCUGGAGGUAUCAGAAGUGCGAAUGCUGACAUAAGUAACGAUAAAGCGGGUGAAAAGCCCGCUCGCCGGAAGACCAAGGGUUCCUGUCCAACGUUAAUCGGGGCAGGGUGAGUCGACCCCUAAGGCGAGGCCGAAAGGCGUAGUCGAUGGGAAACAGGUUAAUAUUCCUGUACUUGGUGUUACUGCGAAGGGGGGACGGAGAAGGCUAUGUCAGCCGGGCGACGGUUGUCCCGGUUUAAGCAUGUAGGCGGAGGUUCCAGGUAAAUCCGGUACCUUUUAACGCUGAGGUGUGAUGACGAGGCACUACGGUGCUGAAGUGAUAAAUGCCCUGCUUCCAGGAAAAGCCUCUAAGCAUCAGGUAACACGAAAUCGUACCCCAAACCGACACAGGUGGUCAGGUAGAGAAUACCAAGGCGCUUGAGAGAACUCGGGUGAAGGAACUAGGCAAAAUGGUGCCGUAACUUCGGGAGAAGGCACGCUGAUAUGUAGGUGAAGCCCCUGCGGGCGGAGCUGAAAUCAGUCGAAGAUACCAGCUGGCUGCAACUGUUUAUUAAAAACACAGCACUGUGCAAACACGAAAGUGGACGUAUACGGUGUGACGCCUGCCCGGUGCCGGAAGGUUAAUUGAUGGGGUUAGCGGCAACGCGAAGCUCUUGAUCGAAGCCCCGGUAAACGGCGGCCGUAACUAUAACGGUCCUAAGGUAGCGAAAUUCCUUGUCGGGUAAGUUCCGACCUGCACGAAUGGCGUAAUGAUGGCCAGGCUGUCUCCACCCGAGACUCAGUGAAAUUGAACUCGCUGUGAAGAUGCAGUGUACCCGCGGCAAGACGGAAAGACCCCGUGAACCUUUACUAUAGCUUGACACUGAACACUGGUCCUUGAUGUGUAGGAUAGGUGGGAGGCUUUGAAGCGUGGACGCCAGUCUGCGUGGAGCCGUCCUUGAAAUACCACCCUUUAAUGGCUGGUGUUCUAACGUAGACCCGUGAUCCGGGUUGCGGACAGUGUCUGGUGGGUAGUUUGACUGGGGCGGUCUCCUCCCAAAGAGUAACGGAGGAGCACGAAGGUUGGCUAAUCCUGGUCGGACAUCAGGAGGUUAGUGCAAUGGCAUAAGCCAGCUUGACUGCGAGCGUGACGGCGCGAGCAGGUGCGAAAGCAGGUCAUAGUGAUCCGGUGGUUCUGAAUGGAAGGGCCAUCGCUCAACGGAUAAAAGGUACUCCGGGGAUAACAGGCUGAUACCGCCCAAGAGUUCAUAUCGACGGCGGUGUUUGGCACCUCGAUGUCGGCUCAUCACAUCCUGGGGCUGAAGUAGGUCCCAAGGGUAUGGCUGUUCGCCAUUUAAAGUGGUACGCGAGCUGGGUUUAGAACGUCGUGAGACAGUUCGGUCCCUAUCUGCCGUGGGCGCUGGAGAAUUGAGGGGGGCUGCUCCUAGUACGAGAGGACCGGAGUGGACGCAUCACUGGUGUUCGGGUUGUCAUGCCAAUGGCACUGCCCGGUAGCUAAAUGCGGAAGAGAUAAGUGCUGAAAGCAUCUAAGCACGAAACUUGCCCCGAGAUGAGUUCUCCCUGAGACUUUAAGUCUCCUGAAGGAACGUUGAAGACGACGACGUUGAUAGGUCGGGUGUGUAAGCGCAGCGAUGCGUUGAGCUAACCGAUACUAAUGAACCGUGAGGCUUAACCUU
rnacentral:rRNA from 1 species